rnacentral:rRNA from 1 species
GCAGAGAACACCCCUCGUACCUUUUGCAUCAUGAUUCAGCCAGUAAAACACAUGCAAAGAGACCUCUAGUUAGUGCCCCCGAAACCCGACGAGCUACUCCGGGACAGCUUAUUCGGAGCCAACCCAUCUCUGUGGCAAAAGAGUGGGAAGAUCCCCGAGUAGCGGCAAAAAACCUACCGAGCCGGGUUAUAGCUGGUUGCCCAAAAAAUGAAUAAAAGUUCAGCCCCGCACAGCCCAACUCAAUACAGUUAGACUACAAAAGACAGAGAGCUUCCAAGCGGGAGUUAAUCAGAGGAGGUACAGCUCCCCUGAUAAAGAACACAAUCUUUAAAGGAGAUUAAGGAAUAAAGUAACACAAGGUUACAGGUCUCAGUGGGCCUGAAAGCAGCCACCUGCCCAGAAAGCGUUAAAGCUCAGACCAAAAAAAGCCUAUUAUCACAUUAAACACCCCAAAAUCCCUUGACACUAUUGGGCCUUUCUAUGCCCCCAUAGAAGAGACGAUGCUGAAACGAGUAACAAGAAGAUUGAACUUCUCCUAGCAUAAGUGUAUGCCGGAUCGGACCCCCCACCGGUGAUUAACGAACCCAAAAAAAGAGGGCCUCACACCACUUCCCCUCGGGCCAGGAAAAUCGUGUUCCAAUAAUCGUUACCCCCACACAGGAGUGCUAUAACCAAGGAAAGACUAAAAGAAAAAAAAGGAACUCGGCAAGCCUAAACCCCGCCUGUUUACCAAAAACAUCGCCUCUUGCCCAUCUCUGUAUAAGAG